CAGGAAACCGUCUCCAGUUUACGCUUCGACGUCCGGCCUCCGCCAAAAAUACGUUCUGGCAGUAUGGUGAAGGCGCCGCCCUCGCUUUCGUAUGACUCUCGUCUGAAACGAUCUCAAGGUUGUUGUAGCCUCAAAGGUUGGACGAUAUCCAAGUGCGCGUACACGCAGCACACGUCGACACCGUUGUUGUUAUUGGCACACUGAUCUGGCCAAUGCAAGACUAUUAAUAGACUCUUUGUGCCGAUAACACGUUAUGCAACCAUUUCAAGGGCAGAGAAAGUUGAUUCGCCUGCUUCUGCAGCAGAAUGUUAUGGCCAGGUAUAUUGAUGAACAGGUGCCCAACGGAUGGGAAAAGCAACAUCUGCUACGGAGUAAAGACGAGACGUAACGGAAACCAAAAGUGACCGGGUCAUUAGGGCCAAAUUCGGUACAAGGACACUGGAUCCCACACACAGUUCCAAUUAGAAAUUCUCCUUUCAGUAUAAAAUUCCAACAAUUUUAAAUUUCAUAGUGAUGAUCAAAAAAACACUACAUUGAUCGAUUGAUUAUUUUUCCCAGAGUUCCUCUUCCUAUUUUCAGUUAAAUCAAUAAUUGCGGUAGUAUUUGUAAAAUUUAUGUAUUUAUUUUCAAUUUUGGGACUCGCUGAUAGCUUCAAGGUCAAAUAAAUAAACGUUUCCUUAUUUUCAUCAUAC